rnacentral:rRNA from 1 species
CAACAGGGAUUGCCUCAGUAACGGCGAGUGAAGCGGCAACAGCUCAAAUUUUAAAGCUGGCGUCUUCGGCGUCCGCAUUGUAAUUUGGAGAGGCAUCUUCGGUUAGGGCGCCAGCCUAUGUUCCUUGGAACAGGACGUCACAGAGGGUGAGAAUCCCGUGCCUGGCUGGAUGUCCCUUUCCAUGUGAAGUGUCUUCGACGAGUCGAGUUGUUUGGGAAUGCAGCUCAAAAUGGGUGGUAAAUUUCAUCUAAAGCUAAAUAUUGGCGGGAGACCGAUAGCGCACAAGUAGAGUGAUCGAAAGAUGAAAAGCACUUUGAAAAUAGAGUUAAAAAGUACGUGAAAUUGUUGAAAGGGAAGCGCUUGAGACCAGAGUCGGCCGUGGAUGAUCAGCCGCCCUUAUCGGACGGUGCACUCGUCUGCGGUCGGGCCAGCAUCGGUUGAACCGGCGGGACAAAGGCUCGGGAAAUGUGGCUCCCUUCGGGGAGUGUUAUAGCCCCGGGCGCAAUUCCGUCAGGCUCGACCGAGGACCGCGCUUUUAUGCUAGGAUGCUGGCGUAAU